CGGAGGAUCCAAGCGUUAUCCGGAAUCAUUGGGUUUAAAGGGUCCGUAGGCGGUUUUAUAAGUCAGUGGUGAAAUCUGGUCGCUCAACGAUCAAACGGCCAUUGAUACUGUAAGACUUGAAUUACUUGGAAGUAACUAGAAUAUGUAGUGUAGCGGUGAAAUGCUUAGAGAUUACAUGGAAUACCAAUUGCGAAGGCAGGUUACUACAAGUAUAUUGACGCUGAUGGACGAAAGCGUGGGGAGCGAACAGGAUUAGAUACCCUGGUAGUCCACGCCGUAAACGAUGGAUACUAGCUGUUUGGAGCAAUCUGAGUGGCUAAGCGAAAGUGAAUAAGUAUCCCCACUGGGGAGUACGCUCGGCAAGAGUAG
rnacentral:rRNA from 1 species